UACGUAGGGGGCAAGCGUUGUCCGGAUUUAUUGGGCGUAAAGAGCUCGUAGGCGGUUUCGUAAGUCGGAUGUGAAAACUCAGGGCUCAACCCGGAGACGCCAUCUGAUACUGCGAUGACUUGAGUCUGGUAGGGGAACACGGAAUUCCUGGUGUAGCGGUGAAAUGCGCAGAUAUCAGGAGGAACACCGAUGGCGAAGGCAGUGUUCUGGGCCAGUACUGACGCUGAGGAGCGAAAGCGUGGGGAGCAAACAGG
rnacentral:rRNA from 1 species